ensembl:lncRNA
UGUCACAGGUGUGUCACAGGUACCCCCAGGUACCCCCAGGUGUGUCCCAGGUGUCCCCAGGUGUGCCCCAGGUACCCCCAGGUGUGUCACAGGUACCCCCAGGUAUGUCCCAGGUGUCCCCAGAAGUCCCCAGGUGUGCCCCAGGUGUGUUCCAGGUGUAUCCUCUCUAUCCCAGAUGUCCCCAGGUGUGUCCCAGGUACCCCCAGAUGUGUCCCAGGUACCCCCAGAUGUGUCACAGGUGUGUCACAGGUACCCCCAGGUGUCCCCAGGUACCCCCAGUUGUAUCUUCUCUAUCCCAGGUGUGUCCUAGAUGUGUCACAGGUGUGUCCCAGGUGUCCCCAGGUGUGUCCCAGGUGUCCCCAGGUGUGUCACAGGUGUCCCCAGGUGUGUCACAGGUGUGUCACAGGUACCCCCAGGUGUGUCACAGGUACCCCCAGGUCCCCCCAGGUGUCCCCAGGUACCCCCAGGUGUGUCCCAGGUGUCCCCAGGUGUGUCCAGGUACCCCCAGGUGUCCCCAGGUGUCCCCAGGUACCCCCAGUUGUAUCUUCUCUAUCCCAGGUGUGUACCAGGUGUGUCCCAGGUACCCCCAGAUGUGUCACAGGUGUGUCCCAGGUGUCCCCAGGUGUGCCACAGGUACCCCCAGGUCCCCCCAGAUGUCCCCAGGUGUGUUCCAGAUGUAUCCUCUCUAUCCCAGAUGUCCCCAGGUGUCCCCAGGUGUGACCCAGGUGUCCCCAGAUGCAUCUCAGGUGUCCCCAGGUGUCCCCAGGUACCCCCAGGUGUGUUCCAGAUGUGUCCUCUCUAUCCCAGGUGUCCCCAGGUGUGUCCCAGGUGUAUCUCAAAUCCCCCCAGGUAUGUCACAGGUGUCCCCAGGUACCCCCAGGUGUGUCACAGGUGUCCCCAGGUACCCCCAGGUGUGUCUCAGGUAUCUCAGAUGUUCCCCAGAUGUUCCUCAGCUGUCCCCAGGUGUCCCCAGGUGUCCCCAGGUGUGUUCCAGAUGUCCUCAGGUGUGUCUCAGGUGUCCCCAGGUGUUCCCAGGUAUGUUCCAGAUGUGUCCUCUCUAUCCCAGGUGUGUCCCAGGUGUGUCCCAGAUGUCCUCAGGUGUCCCCAGGUGUCCCCAGGUGUGUCCCAGGUGUGUUCCAGAUGUCCUCAGGUGUGUCUCAGGUGUCCCCAGGUGUCCCCAGGUGUGUUCCAGAUGUCCUCAGGUGUCCCCAGGUGUCCCCAGGUGUGUCCCAGGUGUCACUCACCUGUCCCAGGUGUCCCCAGGUGUGUCCCAGGUGUGUUCCAGAUGUGUCCUCUCUAUCCCAGGUGUCUCAGGUGUAUCUCAAAUCCCCCCAGGUGUGUCCCAGGUGGCCCCCAGGUACCCUCAGGUGCCCCCAGCUCCACCCCAGGUGUUCCCAGCUGUCCCCAGGUGUGUUCCCAGGUGUCCCCAGGUGUGUUCCAGGUGUGAUCCAGAACAUGUUCUAGUUUACUCUAGAGCCGGUUCUAGAUCGGUUCCAGACCACGUUCGAGACUCGGUUCUAGGUCGGUUCUAGAUCGGGUUCUAGACUCGGUUCUAGAUUGAGUUCUGGAUCGGUUCUGGACUGGGUUCCAGGUGUGUUCCAGGUGUCCCCAGGUGUGUUUUUGGUGUCCCCAGGUGUCCCCAGGUGUCCCCAGGUGUAUCCAGGUGUCCCCAGGUGUGUCCCAGGUGUGUUUUUGGUGUCCCCAGGUGUCCCCAGGUGUCCCCAGCUGUCCCCAGGUGU